CAAGGAAGAAGUUCUGACGGUACUUGAGGAAUAAGCAUCGGCUAACUCUGUGCCAGCAGCCGCGGUAAUACAGAGGAUGCAAGCGUUAUCCGGAAUCACUGGGCAUAAAGCGUCUGUAGGUUGCUUAUCAAGUCUGCUGUUAAAGACCAGGGCCUAACCCUGGGAAAGCAGUGGAAACUAGUAGGCUUGAGUGUGGUAGAGGUAGAGGGAAUUCCUGGUGUAGCGGUGAAAUGCGUAGAUAUUAGGAAGAACACCAAUGGCGAAAGCACUCUACUGGGCCAUAACUGACACUGAGAGACGACAGCUAGGGGAGCAAAUGGGAUUAGAUACCCCAGUAGUCCUAGCCGUAAACGAUGGAUACUAGGUGUUGCACGUAUUAACCCGUGCAGUAUCGUAGCUAAGGCGUUAAGUAUCCCGCCUGGGAAGUACGCUCGCAAGA
rnacentral:rRNA from 1 species